AGAGCUUGCUCUCUUGGCGGCGAGUGGCGGACGGGUGAGUAAUAUAUCGGAACGUGCCCAGUAACGGGGGAUAACUACUCGAAAGAGUGGCUAAUACCGCAUACGCCCUACGGGGGAAGGGGGGGGAUCGCAAGACCUCUCACUAUUGGAGCGGCCGAUAUCGGAUUAGCUAGUUGGUGGGGUAAAGGCUCACCAAGGCAACGAUCCGUAGCUGGUUUGAGAGGACGACCAGCCACACUGGGACUGAGACACGGCCCAGACUCCUACGGGAGGCAGCAGUGGGGAAUUUUGGACAAUGGGGGAAACCCUGAUCCAGCCAUCCCGCGUGUAUGAUGAAGGCCUUCGGGUUGUAAAGUACUUUUGGCAGAGAAGAAAAGGUAUCCCCUAAUACGGGAUACUGCUGACGGUAUCUGCAGAAUAAGCACCGGCUAACUACGUGCCAGCAGCCGCGGUAAUACGUAGGGUGCAAGCGUUAAUCGGAAUUACUGGGCGUAAAGCGUGUGUAGGCGGUUCGGAAAGAAAGAUGUGAAAUCCCAUGGCUCAACCUUGGAACUGCAUUUUUAACUGCCGAGCUA
rnacentral:rRNA from 1 species